UCCGGUUUGACACCGGCAGUCUCGCUAGAGUACUGGCUUGCGCCGAGCAACUAACGACAGGGGUUGCGCUCGUUAAGGGACUUAACCCGACACUUCACAGCACGAGCUGACGACAGCCAUGCAGCACCUGUGACCGUUGUACCCUUGCGGGCCUAACCCUACUUUCAUAGGGAUAAUCCGGCCAUGUCAAGCCCAGGUAAGGUUCUUCGCGUUGCCUCGAAUUAAGCAACAUGCUCCACCGCUUGUGUGAGCCCCCGUCAAUUCAUUUGAGUUUUAGCCUUGCGACCGUACUCCCCAGGCGGUACACUUAUCGCUUUCGCAUCGGCCGAUACGGCGUCAAAACCGCACCGAUCUAGUGUACAUUGUUUACGGCGUGGACUAC
rnacentral:misc_RNA from 1 species